CCUACGGGAGGCAGCAGUGGGGAAUUUUGGACAAUGGGCGCAAGCCUGAUCCAGCCAUGCCGCGUGAGUGAAGAAGGCCUUCGGGUUGUAAAGCUCUUUCGGCCGGGAAGAAAUCGGCGACUCUAACAUAGUCGCUGGAUGACGGUACCGGACUAAGAAGCACCGGCUAACUACGUGCCAGCAGCCGCGGUAAU
rnacentral:rRNA from 1 species